CAGAAAUAGGUUGGUAACUGACUCAUGUUAGAAAAUAUAACAUUUAAAAAUAGAGAUGAUCACAUGCUGUGGGUGAUCCCAUGGAAUGGGGCUUCAGGUGGAGGUAGAAUUUAAACCGUGUUUUCUGCUCUCCUGUCACAGCACUGCUAUUAUUUGUGUUUCCCACACAGAAUCACAGCUUUUUGCACCUCCUCAAUGUGACUUACCAUAUUUAGGAACUGAGGCAAUCUGAAACCUUUUGAGAUAUGGUGGCCAGAAUUAAAUGGAAUACUCAGAUUCUCAAUGCACGUUUAAAGGCUGAAACAUCCACAGCAGCACUGCAAAGAUGGCAGGAAAUGGUGCAAAAGCAAAUAAAGUGGAAGAGAACAAGUGAGUGUGAAAGAAGAGCAACUCCAUGCUAUUGGCUGUACUCAGCAGGACUGAUGAGGGCAGGAACUUGCAGACAAGUAAAUAUUACACUGAUGGUUUCAAUAUUGACCCUUUGUAAUAUGAUGCAAGAGAACAGCUUCUCAGAAGAAUGACUGAUGGGGCUUCUUCAAGCAAAAUCACUUUUGUUUUACACACUGGCAAUUCAAAUGCUAAAUGUAUUUAGUUUUAAUUGUGCUUUGACUUUUUAACUAAGCUAGUAUGUAGUCUCCAUUUGUAUCCUACUGCUGGAAGAAAAUGAAAGAUAUAAAAGCACUUUUGAAAGGGUGUAAUUUCUGAAAUCUUCUAGGGCCUGAAUAUAUGCUUUGAAGAGUUUAAAUAAACUCCAGAGAAGGAGAUUGAAAUGAAGUCUU
rnacentral:lncRNA from 1 species